rnacentral:rRNA from 1 species
GACGAACGCUGGCGGCGUGCUUAACACAUGCAAGUCGAACGGAAAGGCCCCUUUCUUGGUACUCUAGUGUUGAACGGGGGAGUAACACUUAAGUAACCUUCCCUUGCCUUUGGGAUAACUUCAGGAAACUGGGGCUAAUACCGGUAAGGAAUCCUUUCUUCAUGGGGGGGGUUGGAAAGCGUCGGCCGUUUUUGAUGAACCCGCUGCUUAUCUGCUUGUUGGUUGGGUAGGGUGUUACCAAGGCGUUGUGGGGUAGCCGGACUGAGGGAGCGACCGGCCACAUUGAGACUGAGAUAAGGCACAGACUCCUAAGCGAGGACGAAGUGGGGAAUAUUGACCAAUGGGCGGCGGCCUGAUGAAGAAAGGCCGCGUGCGGGAUGACGCUCUUAGGGUUGAAAACCGAUUUCAGAAGGGGCGAAGCUUGUGGUGACGGUACCUGAAGAAGAAGCCACGGCUAACUACGUG